rnacentral:rRNA from 1 species
CCUACGGGUGGCAGCAGUCGAGAAUCAUUCACAAUGGGGGAAACCCUGAUGGUGCGACGCCGCGUGGGGUAAUGAAGGUCUUCGGAUUGUAAACCCCUGUCAUGUGGGAGCAAAUUAAAAAGAUAGUACCACAAGAGGAAGAGACGGCUAACUCUGUGCCAGCAGCCGCGGUAAUACAGAGGUCUCAAGCGUUGUUCGGAAUCACUGGGCGUAAGGCGUGCGUAGGCUGUUUCGUAAGUCGUGUGUGAAAGGCGCGGGCUCAACCCGCGGACGGCACAUGAUACUGCGAGACUAGAGUAAUGGAGGGGCAACCGGAAUUCUCGGUGUAGCAGUGAAAUGCGUAGAUAUCGAGAGGAACACUCGUGGCGAAGGCGGGUUCCUGGACAUUAACUGACGCUGAGGCACGAAGGCCAGGGGAGCGAAAGGGAUUAGAUACCCCUGUAGUC